rnacentral:rRNA from 1 species
GAUAAACGCUGGCGGCGUGCAUAACACAUGCAAGUCGAACGAUGAAGCUUAAAAGAUUUCUUCGGAAUGAACUUAAUUGGAUUAGUGGCGGACGGGUGAGUAACGCGUGAGUAACCUGCCUUGUACAAGGGGAUAGCCGUUGGAAACGACGAAUAAUACCCUAUGACAUCAAAUAAUCGCAUGAUAAUUUGAUCAAAGAUUUAUCGGUAUAAGAUGGACUCGCGUCUGAUUAGCUAGUUGGUAGAGUGAAAGCCUACCAAGGCAACGAUCAGUAGCCGGCUUGAGAGAGUGUACGGCCACAUUGGGACUGAGACACGGCCCAGACUCCUACGGGAGGCAGCAGUGGGGAAUUUUGCACAAUGGGGGAAACCCUGAUGCAGCGACGCCGCGUGAUUUAGAAGGCCUUCGGGUUGUAAAAAUCUUUUGUAUGGGAAGAAAAUGACAGUACCAUACGAAUAAGGACCGGCUAAUUACGUG